AACGCCUGCGCGGGGUAUGUCAAUGGUUUUUACCUUUCAGACUAGAGAACAAAGUACACAGGAGAGACACCUGUGACAUACAUUAUUUUGGAUACACAAUUCUGUGAAUAUUAUUGUCAACACCAAAGGGCCUAAAUCUAGCGAAACAACUACCUGGGUGGGUGAACAAACGUGGAGGAACUGGGCUCUGAGGAUUUAAUGGAUACUGUUUGCCAAAUGGAUUGUACCUGAAGUCGGAGAGAAGGUUGUCAACGGAACUACCAGCCAGGACUCCAUUUUGGAGAAAAGGUUGUCAACGGAACUACCAGCCAGGACUCCAUUUUGGAGAAAAGGUUGUCAACGGAACUACCAGCCAGGACUCCAUUUUGGAGAAAAGGUUGUCAACGGAACUACCAGCCAGGACUCCAUUUUGGAGAAAAGGUUGUCAACGGAACUACCAGCCAGGACUCCAUUUAGGAGAAAAGGUUGUCAACGGAACUACCAGCCAGGACUCCAUUUUGGAGAAACGGCAGCUGAUCACCAUGGAGCCCCCGGAGGACUCCCAGUGCCCGUUGAUGUUCUGGGAGAGAAUGAAGCAUUGCAGCAGUUCUUUGACGCAUGUUACCAGAGUCACCACCAGAUUCUGGUUCAGAACCGUGUUCACCUCCGCUAAUACCAGACGUGAGCUACGGCUACCAGGAAGUCUUCCAGACAGUAACACGUCCUCCAGCCUCAUCGUGCCGAUAUAAAGAGCUGGCACCACAACCCCCACCACAACCAGGACUGCCAUACCACCAGGGGCUGACUAACUCUUACACCAAGGCAGGCACAUCUCCAGGCUCACUGCCCCACAACCCCCCUCCACCACC
ensembl:lncRNA